GGAGCCGAGAGUACCACUUCGGAGUGACCGAACCGAAGAGACUGACAAGACUGAAAACUAGUGAAGAGAUGCCGAUCAUCGUAAUCCUGAAGUAAUGAAUUUUGGCAUGAAAGAAGUGAUUGUUUGUCAAGCGAAGGACUUUUAUUGCUAAAAUCUAAAAGAAGACUAAAUUUAUCUGAGAGAAAAUAAAUUGAUGAUGUUAAAUCAAAAUUAAUUUCUAUGUUGAAUUCAAGAGAAGUAUUUUAUAGCUCGUUUAAUAGAGCCAGACGAAAAACAAAUUGCACAAGUUGAGUCAAGUCUUACAUUGAAGAAAGUUGAUCGAUUAAAUAUGAUUAAGGAUGGUGAUAUUUGGUGCUUAUUCAGCGUUAACGUGCAUUCGCGAUGAUAAAUUGCGAAUAACAAUAAAAGAUGACCCGGAGAUAAUGAAGAGAAUUGUUAAACAAAAAGUAAGUAGUAUAUAUAGAUGAAUAAGAAGUGCCGAAGAGAGAACUAACUAAUGUCCCAGUUAUACAGUUGGUAACCUCGAUGUUUAAAUUGAUAAUGCUUCGUACUAUCCUACAGUACCAAAACAUGUAUUAUUAUUGUUAUUACUAUUAUUAUUUCAAUUUUUUUAAUGAAACUUUCUGAAAAA